UGAGCUGGAGAGGCUGUCCCGAAAGGGGGAACCAGGAGAAGCGGGGGGAGGGGGACCUGCGCACCUGAGCCCUGUCCUCCUGCAG
rnacentral:miRNA from 1 species